rnacentral:rRNA from 1 species
UUGAACGCUGGCGGCAGGCCUAACACAUGCAAGUCGAGCGGUAGAGAGAAGCUUGCUUCUCUUGAGAGCGGCGGACGGGUGAGUAAUGCCUAGGAAUCUGCCUGGUAGUGGGGGAUAACGUUCGGAAACGGACGCUAAUACCGCAUACGUCCUACGGGAGAAAGCAGGGGACCUUCGGGCCUUGCGCUAUCAGAUGAGCCUAGGUCGGAUUAGCUAGUUGGUGGGGUAAUGGCUCACCAAGGCGACGAUCCGUAACUGGUCUGAGAGGAUGAUCAGUCACACUGGAACUGAGACACGGUCCAGACUCCUACGGGAGGCAGCAGUGGGGAAUAUUGGACAAUGGGCGAAAGCCUGAUCCAGCCAUGCCGCGUGUGUGAAGAAGGUCUUCGGAUUGUAAAGCACUUUAAGUUGGGAGGAAGGGCAGUAAAUUAAUACUUUGCUGUUUUGACGUUACCGACAGAAUAAGCACCGGCUAACUCUGUGC